rnacentral:rRNA from 1 species
GACGAAGGAUGCAAGCGUUAUCCGGAUUCAUUGGGUUUAAAGGGAGCGUAGGCGGCCCUGUAAGUCAGUGGUGAAAUCUCGCAGCUUAACUGCGAAAUUGCCAUUGAUACUGCAGGGCUUGAGUACAGUUGCUGUGGGCGGAAUAUGACAUGUAGUGGUGAAAUACAUAGAGAUGUCAUAGAACACCGAUUGCGAAGGCAGCUCACAAAACUGUAACUGACGCUGAGGCUCGAAAGUGCGGGGAUCAA